rnacentral:lncRNA from 1 species
UCCACAGUUACCAGCUGUGGAAUUUUGAGCAUAAGUAAGUUACUAAUCUCUUAGUCUUACUUGCUCAUCUGUUGCCAAGAGCUGGAAGAAGAUGGCCUCUGCAGGGUCACCUUCCAAGUCCCUCAGGAAGGCAACUAACGGGAGGAACUUAAUGUGCAUCCAGAGACCAAGAUGGCGGGAGUGUGGGAAACGUGGCUUUUAGCAUGCCAGCACCUUCCAAAGGGAAGAUAGGUGGAAUGGAGGUGAAGGGACCGAUGCAAAGUGCUAAACACAAGUUUAAAAUUUGGACUAUGGCUGUUUACAAGGAAGAAUCAAUGUCUUCACACAGGGAGAUCUUUAAAGGCUUUAUUAAAAUGCAGAGAAGGCUUUCCAACAAGGAUGCGAGGGCAGAUGGAAGUGAGAGGCCUUCAUAACGAGAUUAAGCAGAUGGGAAAGUUUACGACUAAUGAGAAGGGCAAAAGGACGCUAAAAGUGAUCAUUUUCUUGAAAUUAUAGUGAGGAGAAGGAUCUGUGCUUUACGUCUUGGGAACCUCCUCUGGUCAUGUGAGUAUGUGUGGAAAGAUAUGAAUGAUCAAGAGAGUCCAGCCUCGUGUUCUCAGAAGAGCUCAGCUUCCUGUGAUGUUUGAGAAUUUAACUGUUCCCAGAUACAUUUUAUGCCUCAGUCCAUCCAAUCCCUAGGAUUAGGGGGCAGGGUGGUGACUGGAGAAGCAGGCAUGUGUGGCAGCUGCUGCUCUGGGCUGGGGUUUCAAUAAGCUUACUGGGGUCAGGGGUCAGAGAAAGAUCGCAGUUGGGGACCAUCUUGUAAUCUGAGCCUUUUUGCAUAUUUUACGUGUUG